rnacentral:rRNA from 1 species
UACGAAGGGGGCUAGCGUUGUUCGGAAUUACUGGGCGUAAAGGGCGCGUAGGCGGCCUGGUAAGUAGGGGGUGAAAUCCUGCGGCUUAACCGCAGGGCUGCCUUCUAAACUGUCAGGCUCGAGCACGGUAGAGGCAGAUGGAAUUCCCGGUGUAGCGGUGGAAUGCGUAGAGAUCGGGAAGAACAUCAGUGGCGAAGGCGGUCUGCUGGGCCGUUGCUGACGCUGAGGCGCGACAGCGUGGGGAGCAAGCAGG